AUUUUAAAGCGAGAACUGGGGUUCAUGGCGGAGCAAGGCAUGGUGAAGCAGCCAGUGCUGAUAAAAGGGCUGCCGAAAAUUACAUACACCACUUCGACACCAUGACAAAGAGAAAUGCAAAAGGGGUUUUCUCGCCACCCUGGGCUGCUGUAACACAUCUGUAAGAAGCCCCCUGGCUUCAGGAACCCGCUGCCCAUCACUAGAAUCGACCACAAAAAUAAUCCCAUGGGCUUCUCCGCAGAGCUGCCUCCAGGCUCCACGACUCUCUCCGCCACCUCCAACAUCCAGCAAGGUCACUAGAAAGUUGUCCACUCUCAGCUCUGUGCGUAUGCAUCCACUGGUGGGACCCAGGUCCCGUGGA